UACGGAGGGUGCAAGCAUUAAUCGGAUUUAUUGGGCGUAAAGGGCGCGUAGGCGGGAAUGUAAGUCAGACGUGAAAUCCCGGGGCUCAACCCCGGAACAGCAUUUGAAACUACAUUUCUUGAGGGUAGAAGGAGGAAACGGAAUUCCACAAGUAGCGGUGAAAUGCGUAGAUAUGUGGAAGAACACCGGUGGCGAAGGCGGUUUCCUAUUUUACUCCUGACGCUAAAGCGCGAAAGCAAGGGGAUCAAACAGG
rnacentral:rRNA from 1 species